GGGUGGAGUGGGUCGUCACACUUUGAACAAAAAAAAGUGUGUUACUGUAACUCACAGAGGCUACGGUGUAGAUGUGUCAUUUGUCUGUAGUGUAUUUGGUAAAUGUUUGUUGUUAUCUUUCCUUCGGUAUCCCCGGCAACAAGCCUUGGGGGCGUCAUGGUCCCCAAUCAUCUGAAAUUGUUUUGGCAGUCACAAUGUCCUGCUUGAUUAAACUGCACAUAUGUGUGUGCAGAGACACACACACACAGGGGCUGCAGGGUAUAGGUGGCUCAGAGCUAUGGGGUCUGGUACUCUGGUAAAUAUCCUACACACACACUAAACAACGGAGAUGGCGAAAGAGAAACACCAGACAUCGAGGAACAGAUCCUCGUAUUCACUGGGGCUGACAUAUCAACACGAUCGGCCUACAUUUGCUGCUUGACAGGUGAGAGCAGGUGGGAGAGCCGUGGGUGUUGUUAACUCAGAGGUGAAAAGAAAGGCCCGGACUGAUGUCGUUCUCCGUCCUCCCUCUGUUCUGAUUUCUGCUCCUGCGUUGGCGUGAGUCUGCUCUCGGCUCCAAGGGCAAACAAAAAGGGAAACGGCAGCAGGUUGUCACGGCAACACAGGAGCUACUCAUACAUACAGCGUGAGGAAGAGCGUCAGUGGGCUGGAGCUGAGGAACCUUUCACGACUUCCGCUGAUGAGUGGGCAUCUAAAGAUGGGAGCAUGUCACGAGCUUUAUUUAUAGCGGGCUGUAUCUUUAGUAGCUGGUGGCCUAUUUUAACACAGACAGUGAUCUAUAAGUCUCAGCAUGCACCACAACAUACAAAAAAUAGAACUUAGAGAUCGUACUAUUAAAUCAACCUUGUUCCUGAAAAGCAGGAAUGACGCACAACAUGGAAAUUAAACAGGUGUAUUUAUUUGCAAAGCAUUUAAAUAUUACACUGAUGGAAAAUAUUGCAAAGUUGCAAAUUUUAUCCGUGUUUAUGCCGAAACUAUAAAAGGCCGAUGGGUUGUUGUCGUCACCUGCUGUGGUUUUGAAUGCAGCAUCUCGAGAACAAGGCAACAUAGGAUUUUCAAAUUCAUCCUAUAGAUGCAUCUACCAAAAAUCACAAGUUCAAAUCCUGGGGAUCUGGACUUCAAGGUCAGAGGUCAUCAAAUUUAUACCAAAGGUGCAUCUACUAGGCGGCUGGGGCAUAGCAGUGGCAGCUGCCAGUAUUUUUUGCAUUUGUUGUCAGGAACAUGCAGGCUGCUGAUGGUGAUGUAAUGAUGUGGGGGAUAUUUUAAAUAGCCUCUAGAACCUAAAGAGAGAGCUGAAUCCAUCUAUGGCUUUUUGUCAAACUCGGGGACUACAGUGCUGGUUUUUGUGUAGCCAUUUCCCUCAUUGCAGAAUUUCAAAGAUGGCGGUUUUGAUUUUUGUGAAGGAGUCGCUCUCAUGACUCGUCAAGUGAUGCCACUGACUGGCCAAUCGGUGGUAUGCAGUCUGUUGACGUCCCAUUGACUCAGCUCACUUGGAACCGCCAGGCAGGUCCUACCUGGUACAAGAUGCUACCACCUAAUGAAAAACCCUAAAAACCAAGUCCAGCCAAGUAGAGACUAGUGAAAAAGGGCUAUCAGUGCCUGAGUAUUGUUAAACAGCUUAUCUGGGUACUGUUGCUGACCAUGUAAAUCCCUUUACGAUCACAGUGUACCCAUCAUCUGAUGGAUGAUUACAGUAGCAUAAUGCUAAUAAUUUCCCAUUUGUCUCGUGAACAUGACAGUAAGUUCACUGAACUCGGAUGGCCUCUACAGUCACCAUCAUCUCAAUCCAGUGGAGCACAUUUGGGAUGUGGUGGAACUAGGGUGACCGCAGCUCAACAAACUAAAUGUGGGAAAAACACAGUGUUUGUGUGAGAGCAAGUGGGACAGAAUAACAAUGCUGGGAGGUUGUCCAGUAUGUUAUAUUUGAAUGCAACUUUCCCAACUCUCUAAGUUAGGUAAAUAUAGUAGGAAUAAAAGGAAACUGAAGUUUGUUCUUAUCGUCUUAUAUACUCCUGUAUUCUCUGUUGUUUCAUCUGUUCUUCUGUCUGGUAACAGCCUUUGAGUUUCAGUAAGGAUGCACCCACAGAUUGGCAAACCUUUUUUGAGGCAUGUCUGACAACCUUUGCAAUUUUUAGUCAGUUAUGAUGCAUGCUUACUGUGUUUCUUCACACCAUAUAUUCUCUAAUGUGAAUCUCAAAAAUACCUCCAGGUCCAAAAAAAACAAAGGAAAAAAAACACUAUUUCUUAGAAAACACUGCCACUUCACCUUCCUUCUUGUAGUUUCCUUCAUAUUCAUCAAUAUGUGCAAAGCUUAUGACUUUUUGGUAACUUUUAAGCUAGGUGGCUAAUAUAUAUUUACAUGUAAAUGUGCUAGUAAUAUCUGUUUAAAUGCUUUCCUACGAUUAUUUUCAUGUUCGCUUCAAAUAAAAUAUCUUCCUUUGCUGGUA